rnacentral:rRNA from 1 species
GGCCUUGACAUACUAAGAACUUUCCAGAGAUGGAUUGGUGCCUUCGGGAACUUAGAUACAGGUGCUGCAUGGCUGUCGUCAGCUCGUGUCGUGAGAUGUUGGGUUAAGUCCGCAACGAGCGCAACCCUUUUCCUUAUUUGCCAGCGGGUCAUGCCGGGAACUUUAAGGAUACUGCCAGUGACAAACUGGAGGAAGGCGGGGACGACGUCAAGUCAUCAUGGCCCUUACGGCCAGGGCUACACACGUGCUACAAUGGUCGGUACAAAGGGUUGCUACCUCGCGAGAGGACGCUAAUCUCAAAAAGCCGAUCGUAGUCCGGAUCGCAGUCUGCAACUCGACUGCGUGAAGUCGGAAUCGCUAGUAAUCGCGGAUCAGAAUGCCGCGGUGAAUACGUUCCCGGGCCUUGUACACACCGCCCGUCACACCAUGGGAGUUUGUUGCACCAGAAGUAGGUAGUCUAACCGCAAGGAGGACGCUUACCACGGUGUGGCCGAUGACUGGGGUGAAGUCGUAACAAGGUAAGCGUAGAUGA